rnacentral:rRNA from 1 species
UACGUAGGGUGCAAGCGUUAAUCGGAAUUACUGGGCGUAAAGCGUGCGCAGGCGGUUUUGUAAGUCUGAUGUGAAAUCCCCGGGCUCAACCUGGGAACUGCAUCCGAUACUGGAUGGCUUGAAUUCGGGAGAGGGAUGCAGAAUUCCAGGUGUAGCGGUGAAAUGCGUAGAUAUCUGGAGGAAUACCGGUGGCGAAGGCGGCAUCCUGGACCGACAUUGACGCUGAGGAGCGAAAGCCAGGGGAGCAAACGGG